rnacentral:rRNA from 1 species
AGUGAACGCUGGCGGUAGGCCUAACACAUGCAAGUCGAACGGCAGCACAGGAGAGCUUGCUCUCUGGGUGGCGAGUGGCGGACGGGUGAGGAAUACAUCGGAAUCUACUUUUUCGUGGGGGAUAACGUAGGGAAACUUACGCUAAUACCGCAUACGACCUACGGGUGAAAGCAGGGGAUCUUCGGACCUUGCGCGAUUGAAUGAGCCGAUGUCGGAUUAGCUAGUUGGCGGGGUAAAGGCCCACCAAGGCGACGAUCCGUAGCUGGUCUGAGAGGAUGAUCAGCCACACUGGAAGUGGGACACGGUCCAGACUCCUACGGGAGGCAGCAGUGGGGAAUAUUGGACAAUGGGCGCAAGCCUGAUCCAGCCAUACCGCGUGAGUGAAGAAGGCCUUCGGGUUGUAAAGCCCUUUUGUUGGGAAAGAAAGCCAGCUGGCUAAUACCCGGUUGGGAUGACGGUACCCAAAGAAUAAGCACCGGCUAACUUCGUGCCAGCAGCCGCAGUAA